ACAGCCCAAAGGAAAAACCCUAAAAAAACCCCUUCUCAUGUUGCCAGCCGACAUAUAUAUGUAUAGCAAAUGAAACUUUAGAAGCAUAUUUCUCACUCUCUCCAUCCAUCGCCUGCUCUUAUCUCUCCCAUCUUUCUUACAAAUUUGUUCUUAAGUUCCCUUUUGCCACUGUUAAUUCAUGGUUUUCUGAUAUUUCCUUAUUGUUUGUAGAUUGUUUGCUCAAAUAUGCUCCCCUUCUCUCUUCUUUUUCUAAGGUAGUCUAUUUGCAAUAAGGGGUGCUUCAAGCGUUUGGAAACAAGAUGAAGAUUUUUACAAACUGAAACGUCUAAUUAAACACCUGAAAAGUCUAGAUUAUUUGUAAUCUAAGGUUUUUGAACCAUUUAUUUGGUCUGUAACAUAUUGGAAUUCGUUGGAAAAAACUAUAUUUUUUUGGCCAUUAAUUGAUUUAACGAAAUUAUUAAUCGUUUA